AAAGUCAAGUUUGUUUUCGGAUGACUUGGGUUUUGUGAAAUAAAAUAGGGUUGAUAUUUUUAGUGAUUUCAAGAGUUUUAUAAUAGAUCUAUAAGUGAAAUUUUUUAGGUUAAUUUUCAUAGUUGUGCUUAAUAUGUGUUGUAAAUCUUAGCUCGAUUUAAUAGUUGAAUUGAGGAUUAUUGAGGUUUAAGUGGGUCAAGGUCUUAGAAAGUAGAAUUUGAGGUCUAGUGAGGGUUUUUAAGAUUUCUUGCAAUCAACUAGUUGGAUUGGAGUGAAAUUUAUGUGUGAGGAUAUUAGACUUAUUUUUCUA
rnacentral:lncRNA from 1 species